rnacentral:rRNA from 1 species
AUUGAACGCUGGCGGCAGGCUUAACACAUGCAAGUCGAGCGGAGAUGAGGUGCUUGCACCUUAUCUUAGCGGCGGACGGGUGAGUAAUGCUUAGGAAUCUGCCUAUUAGUGGGGGACAACAUUCCGAAAGGGAUGCUAAUACCGCAUACGUCCUACGGGAGAAAGCAGGGGAUCUUCGGACCUUUCGCUAAUAGAUGAGCCUAAGUCGGAUUAGCUAGUUGGUGGGGUAAAGGCCUACCAAGGCGACGAUCUGUAGCGGGGCUGAGAGGAUGAUCCGCCACACUGGGACUGAGACACGGCCCAGACUCCUACGGGAGGCAGCAGUGGGGAAUAUUGGACAAUGGGGGGAACCCUGAUCCAGCCAUGCCGCGUGUGUGAAGAAGGCCUUAUGGUUGUAAAGCACUUUAAGCGAGGAGGAGGCUACUGAGACUAAUACUCUUGGAUAGUGGACGUUACUCGCAGAAUAAGCACCGGCUAACUCUGUGCCAGCCGCCGCAGUAACAC